rnacentral:rRNA from 1 species
UGCAGGUUUGCUUCUAUGUGAAACUCCUUCGAAGAGUCGAGUUGUUUGGGAAUGCAGCUCAAAAUGGGUGGUAAAGUUCAUCUAAAGCUAAAUAUUGGCGAGAGACCGAUAGCGCACAAGUAGAGUGAUCGAAAGAUGAAAAGCACUUUGAAAAGAGAGUUAAACAGUACGUGAAAUUGUUGAAAGGGAAGCGCUUGCAAUCAGACUCACUUGCGGUUGAUCAACGUUCCUUCUGGUUCGUGCACUCUGCCGUUUGUGGGCCAGCAUCAGUUGGUGCGGUGGGACAAAGGUAGCAGGAAUGUGGCUCCCCCGGGAGUGUUAUAGCCUGCUGCGUAAUGCCACCAGCGCCGACUGAGGUCCGCGAUUCGUCUAGGAUGCUGGCUUAAUGGUUGU